UACGUAGGCAGCAAGCGUUGUUCGGAGUUACUGGGCGUAAAGGGUGCGUAGGCGGUUGUUUAAGUUUGGUGUGAAAUCUCCCGGCUCAACUGGGAGGGUGCGCCGAAUACUGAAUGACUAGAGUGCGGGAGAGGAGAGUGGAAUUCCUGGUGUAGCGGUGAAAUGCGUAGAUAGUCAGGAGGAACACCUGCGGCGAAGGCGGGUUGCUGGGCUGACACUGACGCUGAGGCGCGAAAGCUAGGGGAGCAAACGGG
rnacentral:rRNA from 1 species